CUGGAAUAUGGGGAUGUCAUUAUAUGUGGGAAGGGUGUGUGUGGGAUAAGACAGAGGCCAGAGAGGUGGGCAGAAGCUAGAUGUUGAAGGGUCUUAUGUACCACAUGGAGGAGCUCAGACUUCAUCACAAGAACAAUCAAGAGCUACUAAGGGAUUCUGAGCCUGAAAUUUAUGAUGGGGUUUGGGGAGAAUAGCAAUCAAGACAAGGGCUAGGUGUGUUGCAAGAACAGAGGAACUUGUACCAAAAAAAAAUUGUGUGAACACUUCUGCGAUCCAACAAGUGGGGAAGUGGAAGUGGCUGUGCAGAAAAACCUGUGAAAAAUGUUCCAGGUACCCUGGGGAGACUCAGGCCCUCUGACUCCCUACUUCUUGGUAGGGACCCAGAGAGAAUCCCCGACUUCAAAUUAUCUCACUCACCUAUGUCGGAGGAUGUUUAUUUAAUUUUAAUGUCCAAAAUAUCUCUAGGUAGAAAUCAAUAUUAACUAAAAUGCAUCCUUCUUUUUUAAAAUCAACUCGCCCUCUCAUCAUGGUUUAAUGCAUUAAACUGAUAAUUUGUUUUACAAAAAUAAGUUGAAAAUCUACUCUGUCAAGUGCUGUGUACUGUGGAGUAGUCAUCACACCUGUAAAUUAGUACUACCAGCUGAUCUUCUUAAUACAAUUCUUGACCUAGAUCAACUAAGAAAAUCAUCAGAACUGAAAAGGGUAAUCAACAUUUCAGAAAGCAGCUGAGAUCUGGAUCCAGCAAAUCUGCAAUUUUUACCAAUCCUUGGGAUGUUUUUUACAUGUGCUGAGGUACAUCAUUUGACAGAUGAGAAAAGGACCUAAGAAGGUCUCUUUGUCAGGAUCAUCAGGCCGGUACCCGUUGGUUGAUCCCAUCUCAAGAUUGAAGUACAAGAAUUCUGAAUUGAAACUUUGUCUCAGUGACAUUUUUCCUGCAAAGGCUGACCAAUGGUGGAGGGGAGGGCCACCUGAACUCUGACUGGCCUCAAUUUUAGAGCCUUCCGAGUUAAAGCACUAAAGCUGUGUUUGGGUUGGAAGUUGGCAGUAAGAGGAGGUGCAGAGGAAACAGAAGGAUAAGCUGGCUUCUGCCACUGUGAAUGCAUAUGUGUUUCUGCUUGUGUGUUUGUAUAUACUGCUGUGCAUGAGUGCUGACCUGGCCGAUGGUGAAUCAGGGAAAUUUGGGGACCAGAAACUACGUCUCUGAAAAUGACAGAGCAGAACAGGUAACAGAGACUCGUGUUCAGGGAUGUGUUAAAUGCUGGGCAGAAGUAUAACUUUUUCUAUGAAUACUUCAUUUCUGUGCCA
rnacentral:lncRNA from 1 species